rnacentral:misc_RNA from 1 species
GAUGAAGAACGUAGCGAAAUGCGAUACUUGGUGUGAAUUGCAGAAUCCCGUGAACCAUCGAGUCUUUGAACGCAAGUUGCGCCCGAAGCCGUUAGGCCGAGGGCACGCCUGCCUGGGCGUCACACGUCGUUGCCCCCCCAUCUACUCCUUCGGGAUUGCGGGGGGCGGAUGAUGGCCUCCCGUGCGCCUCGUCGCGCGGUUGGCAUAAAUGCCAAGUCCUCGGCGACGCACGCCACGACAAUCGGUGGUUGCGAAACCUCGGUUGCCCGUCGUGUGCGGUCGUCGCGCAUCGAGGGCUCGAAAAAAUUGCCGGGCUCCGGCUCGGCUUUCAACGCGACCCCAGGUCAGGCGGGGUUACCCGCUGAAUUUAAGCAUAUCAAUAAGCGGAGGA